GACGAACGCUGGCGGCGUGCUUAACACAUGCCAGUCGAACGGUGAAGCGCCUUCCUUUUUGGUGGGUGUGGAUGAGUGGCGAACGGGUGAGUAACACGUGAGUAACCUGCCCCCUUCUUCUGGAUAACCGCAUGAAAGUGUGGCUAAUACGGGAUAUUCUGGGUCUGUCGCAUGAUGGGUCUGGGAAAGAUAUUGUUUCGGUGGGGGAUGGGCUCGCGGCCUAUCAGCUUGUUGGUGGGGUGAUGGCCUACCAAGGCGGUGACGGGUAGCCGGCCUGAGAGGGUGGACGGUCACACUGGGACUGAGACACGGCCCAGACUCCUACGGGAGGCAGCAGUGGGGAAUAUUGCACAAUGGGCGCAAGCCUGAUGCAGCGACGCCGCGUGAGGGAUGGAGGCCUUCGGGUUGUGAACCUCUUUCGCCAGUGAAGCAGGCCUGCCUCGUUUGUGGGUGGGUGGACGGUAGCUGGAUAAGAAGCGCCGGCUAACUACGU
rnacentral:rRNA from 1 species